rnacentral:rRNA from 1 species
GACGAACGCUGGCGGCGUGCCUAAUACAUGCAAGUAGAACGCUGAAGGAGGAGCUUGCUUCUCCGGAUGAGUUGCGAACGGGUGAGUAACGCGUAGGUAACCUGCCUGGUAGCGGGGGAUAACUAUUGGAAACGAUAGCUAAUACCGCAUAAGAGUAGAUGUUGCAUGACAUUUGCUUAAAAGGUGCAAUUGCAUCACUACCAGAUGGACCUGCGUUGUAUUAGCUAGUUGGUGGGGUAACGGCUCACCAAGGCGACGAUACAUAGCAGACCUGCGAGGGGGAUCGGCCACACUGGGACUGAGACACGGCCCAGACUCCUACGGGAGGCAGCAGUAGGGAAUCUUCGGCAAGGGGCGGAAGUCUGACCGCGCAACGCCGCGUGAGUGAAGAAGGUUUUCGGAUCGUAAAGCUCUGUUGUAAGAGAAGAACGAGUGUGAGAGUGGAAAGUUCACACUGUGACGGUAUCUUACCAGAAAGGGACGGCUAACUACGUG